AGAUGGAGCGAGUAUAGU
rnacentral:miRNA from 1 species